GCUACAGGCUUAACACAUGCAAGUCGAGGGGAAACGACAUCGAAAGCUUGCUUUUGAUGGGCGUCGACCGGCGCACGGGUGAGUAACGCGUAUCCAACCUGCCCACCACUUGGGGAUAACCUUGCGAAAGUAAGACUAAUACCCAAUGAUAUCUCUAGAAGACAUCUGAAAGGGAUUAAAGAUUUAUCGGUGAUGGAUGGGGAUGCGUCUGAUUAGCUUGUUGGCGGGGUAGCGGCCCACCAAGGCGACGAUCAGUAGGGGUUCUGAGAGGAAGGUCCCCCACAUUGGAACUGAGACACGGUCCAAACUCCUACGGGAGGCAGCAGUGAGGAAUAUUGGUCAAUGGACGAGAGUCUGAACCAGCCAAGUAGCGUGCAGGAUGACGGCCCUAUGGGUUGUAAACUGCUUUUAUAAGGGAAUAAAGUGAGUCUCGUGAGACUUUUUGCAUGUACCUUAUGAAUAAGGACCGGCUAAUUCCGUGCCAGCAGCCGCGGUAAUACGGAAGGUCCGGGCGUUAUCCGGAUUUAUUGGGUUUAAAGGGAGCGUAGGCCGGAGAUUAAGCGUGUUGUGAAAUGUAGACGCUCAACGUCUGCACUGCAGCGCGAACUGGUUUCCUUGAGUACGCACAAAGUGGGCGGAAUUCGUGGUGUAGCGGUGAAAUGCUUAGAUAUCACGAAGAACUCCGAUUGCGAAGGCAGCUCACUGGAGCGCAACUGACGCUGAAGCUCGAAAGUGCGGGUAUCGAACAGGAUUAGAUACCCUGGUAGUCCGCACGGUAAACGAUGGAUGCCCGCUGUUGGUCUGAAUAGGUCAGCGGCCAAGCGAAAGCAUUAAGCAUCCCACCUGGGGAGUACGCCGGCAACGGUGAAACUCAAAGGAAUUGACGGAAGG
rnacentral:rRNA from 1 species